GGCUCGUUGGUCAAGAGGUUAAGACACCGCCCUUUCACGGCGGUAACAGGGGUUCGAUUCCCCUACGAGUCA
rnacentral:tRNA from 1 species